rnacentral:rRNA from 2 species
AGAGUUUGAUCAUGGCUCAGAUUGAACGCUGGCGGCAGGCCUAACACAUGCAAGUCGAGCGGUAGCACAGAGAGCUUGCUCUCGGGUGACGAGCGGCGGACGGGUGAGUAAUGUCUGGGAAACUGCCUGAUGGAGGGGGAUAACUACUGGAAACGGUAGCUAAUACCGCAUAACGUCGCAAGACCAAAGUGGGGGACCUUCGGGCCUCAUGCCAUCAGAUGUGCCCAGAUGGGAUUAGCUGGUAGGUGGGGUAACGGCUCACCUAGGCGACGAUCCCUAGCUGGUCUGAGAGGAUGACCAGCCACACUGGAACUGAGACACGGUCCAGACUCCUACGGGAGGCAGCAGUGGGGAAUAUUGCACAAUGGGCGCAAGCCUGAUGCAGCCAUGCCGCGUGUGUGAAGAAGGCCUUCGGGUUGUAAAGCACUUUCAGCGGGGAGGAAAGCGAUAAGGUUAAUAACCUUGUCGAUUGACGUUACCCGCAGAAGAAGCACCGGCUAACUCCGUGCCAGCAGCCGCGGUAAUACGGAGGGUGCAAGCGUUAAUCGGAAUUACUGGGCGUAAAGCGCACGCAGGCGGUCUGUCAAGUCGGAUGUGAAAUCCCCGGGCUCAACCUGGGAACUGCAUUCGAAACUGGCAGGCUAGAGUCUUGUAGAGGGGGGUAGAAUUCCAGGUGUAGCGGUGAAAUGCGUAGAGAUCUGGAGGAAUACCGGUGGCGAAGGCGGCCCCUGGACAAAGACUGACGCUCAGGUGCGAAAGCGUGGGGAGCAAACAGGAUUAGAUACCCUGGUAGUCCACGCUGUAAACGAUGUCGAUUUGGAGGUUGUGCCCUUGAGGCGUGGCUUCCGGAGCUAACGCGUUAAAUCGACCGCCUGGGGAGUACGGCCGCAAGGUUAAAACUCAAAUGAAUUGACGGGGGCCCGCACAAGCGGUGGAGCAUGUGGUUUAAUUCGAUGCAACGCGAAGAACCUUACCUGGUCUUGACAUCCACAGAACUUUCCAGAGAUGGAUUGGUGCCUUCGGGAACUGUGAGACAGGUGCUGCAUGGCUGUCGUCAGCUCGUGUUGUGAAAUGUUGGGUUAAGUCCCGCAACGAGCGCAACCCUUAUCCUUUGUUGCCAGCGGUCCGGCCGGGAACUCAAGGAGACUGCCAGUGAUAAACUGGAGGAAGGUGGGGAUGACGUCAAGUCAUCAUGGCCCUUACGACCAGGGCUACACACGUGCUACAAUGGCAUAUACAAAGAGAAGCGACCUCGCGAGAGCAAGCGGACCUCAUAAAGUAUGUCGUAGUCCGGAUUGGAGUCUGCAACUCGACUCCAUGAAGUCGGAAUCGCUAGUAAUCGUAGAUCAGAAUGCUACGGUGAAUACGUUCCCGGGCCUUGUACACACCGCCCGUCACACCAUGGGAGUGGGUUGCAAAAGAAGUAGGUAGCUUAACCUUCGGGAGGGCGCUUACCACUUUGUGAUUCAUGACUGGGGUGAAGUCGUAACAAGGUAACCGUAGGGGAACCUGCGGUUGGAUCACCU